ensembl:lncRNA
AUUUGAGGGUGCAGUCAAGAGGCCGUGGAAGCAGGAAAAAUCCAGCAAACCUCAACACUAUUAUGAAGACAUAAUUGUUCUCCGUUCAUCUUGGCUGUUGACACCCCUUUCAGGAAUCUCCCUUAGGCCAAUCAAUAAUCUUGUGGGAAGUAACCUUGAGAUGGUCUUGUCAGUGGAAGUUCUCAACAGGGCUGCAUUUAGUGAUGAACAGCUCUUCCUAAUAGGAGGGCCACAGUCCCUCAGUGAGCCUGGAGGACAAGCUGGUGGGCUCCUUUCUCUGAGAUGGGCAGCGAAGCCUUAGUCCGGGCUUGGGGGUUGUUGAUAAGGAGCCUUUCCAUGGCAACACGGGAAGCCUGACACUGAAGUUCACAGAUGGAAAAACUGAGGCUUAACCAAGCACUGUUGGCUGGGGAAAGGGCCUCGUGACAUCCAGCAGAGAACCCAGCUUUCCCCCCACCCAGAGUGGGAGCCUCUGAUCCGUGUGCCCCUGAGCCUGAGCUGGAGGAGGAAAGUGGCCGGAACACAGACUGGAAUGACACGGGGACCCACAGGCUCCAUUCCAUAGCCGGUGCAGCUCGACAGACCAUCCCUGGGUCCAACCACUCAAAGGCUACAGCUGUGUAUUUUUCCCCUUCAUUCAUAUCCCGCUGGGAGAUUUGGUUGGUAUUUAGCAGCUCUGGUUAAAAAAGAGGAAAAAGAAAGACAUGGGAGAAGGUUGAAACCAUUGUUGGCAAUGCUAUUAUGAGGACCUUACUUAUGUAUUUCAAUAAUCUAUGCCAUUCUUGCUCCCAGCGCUGAACAUGCAAGGACAGAUACACCACGGUGACAUGAAAUUGCUGCUGUUUAUCAGACUCCCGCAGUGAGCCAGACAUGGGAUCAAGUCCUUUAUACGCCUGAUCUCAUUAAAACUUCACAAAAAGCCUA